UACGGAAGGCAGCAGUGGGGAAUAUUGCACAAUGGGCGCAAGCCUGAUGCAGCCAUGCCGCGUGUAUGAAAAAGGCCUUCGGGUUGUAAAGUACUUUCAGUCGUGAGGAGGUGUUAAGGUUAAUAACCUUAGCAAUUGACGUUAGCGACAGAAGAAGCACCGGCUAACUCCGUGCCAGCAGCCGCGGUAAUACGGAGGGUGCGAGCGUUAAUCGGAAUUACUGGGCGUAAAGGGCACGCAGGCGGUUAAUUAAGUUGGGUGUGAAAUCCCCGGGCUUAACCUGGGAAUGGCAUUCAAGACUGGUUAGCUAGAGUCUUGUAGAGGGGGUAGAAUUCCAUGUGUAGCGGUGAAAUGCGUAGAGAUGUGGAGGAAUACCGGUGGCGAAGGCGGCCCCUGGACAAAGACUGACGCUCAUGUGCGAAAGCGUGGGGAGCAAACAGGGAUUAGAUACC
rnacentral:rRNA from 1 species